GAAAUACUUCCUCCGCCCCAAAAUUCUUGUCUUAGAUUUAUCUAGAUACGGAUGUAUGAUACAUCCGUAUCUAGAUAAAUCUAAGACAAGAAUUUUGGGACGGAGGGAGUAAUAC
rnacentral:pre_miRNA from 1 species